AAGAUUAAGCCAUGCAUGUCUAAGUAUAACAAUUUAUACCGUGAAACUGCGAAUGGCUCAUUAAAUCAGUUAUAGUUUAUUUGAUGGUCUUUUCUACAGGGAUAACUGUGGUAAUUCUAGAGCUAAUACCUGCAUAAAACCCCGACUUCUGGGAGGGUGUAUUUAUUAGAUUCAAAAUCAAUGACGUUCGCGUCUUCUGAUGAUUCAUAAUAACUUCUCGAAUCGCAU
rnacentral:rRNA from 1 species